GGCCCUGCCGAUGCCGGGGGCGAGUUUUGAGCGCAAAGACGCACACUCUCUGCAAUGGUCACUUGGGUUGCAUUAACCACUUAACAUCUUACAAGGCUUCCCAAAUUAAUCUACCUCCGCCUGGAAACUAAGCACAGGGAGCAAGAUGGUGUCCCUCGUGUCAAGUAGUGACAUAAUCAGAAAAGCAACUAUGACCAGAUAUCACCAAAACUAGUAUAGACUGGGAGUACUAAGGACUAAUAACCCAUAAGGCCUGGAAGAACUAGGAGCUGAUUAAUCACUAGAACCAAAAGAGGCCUGCAAAGCUCAAGACUGAUUAAACUGUAAAAAGGAAAAAAAAGUAAUAAAUACAUAAAUACAUAAGUAAAUAAACUGUAAAAAGGGAGGAUUUCUGCAGCAAACUGCCAGACUCUCUGAGUGCUGACCCUUCCUCAUCUGACCACAUCAAAAGGCAACUGCUGCUGAAGACUGCCUGAUUGAUCUCCCAACAUAAUAAAGCUCCUCCACUUUUUAAACAUUAAGCAGUAAGUGCCUAGAGCUGGCCCACACCUGACCAAGUCCUCAUCUUAACUGUGCUCACAGACUGACUUGCUUUGUUUCAUUAACUUCUUACCCUUAUUGUAUCUUGUUUGUUGCAUAACUUUGUAUUGUACUUUGUGUGAUGUAUAUGAAGCCAAGUUAAAUACAUAGUGAAAUGUCAUUGAGUUUAGAA